UUUUCAAAAAUUUUCAAUCAUAGUUUACAUUCCAUAUUAUUUUGUAUUAGUUUUAGUUGUACAGCAUAGUGGCUAACCAAUCAUAUACUUUACGAAAUAUUCUCUCUGAUAUAUCCA